rnacentral:rRNA from 1 species
UACGAAGGGGGCUAGCGUUGUUCGGAUUUACUGGGCGUAAAGCGCACGUAGGCGGAUUGUUAAGUCGGGGGUGAAAUCCUGGAGCUCAACUUCAGAAUUGCCUUCGAUACUGGCUUUCUAGAGGCUGGAAGAGGUUAGUGGAAUUCCCAGUGUAGAGGUGAAAUUCGUAGAUAUUGGGAAGAACACCAGUGGCGAAGGCGGCUCACUGGCCCGAUACUGACGCUGAGGCACGAAAGCGUGGGGAGCAAACAGG